rnacentral:tRNA from 2 species
GCUGUUCUAGUUUAUUUAAAAUGUUGCGUUGUGGCCGCAAAGAAAAACGUUGUUUGAAUGGCA